ACGGAAGGCAGCAGUGGGGAAUAUUGGACAAUGGGGGAAACCCUGAUCCAGCGACGCCGCGUGAGUGAAGAAGUAUUUCGGUAUGUAAAGCUCUAUCAGCAAGGAAGAAAAUGACGGUACUUGACUAAGAAGCUCCGGCUAAAUACGUGCCAGCAGCCGCGGUAAUACGUAUGGAGCAAGCGUUAUCCGGAUUUACUGGGUGUAAAGGGAGCGUAGACGGCAAAGCAAGUCUGAAGUGAAAUCUAUGGGCUCAACCCAUAAACUGCUUUGGAAACUGUUUAGCUAGAGUGCAGGAGAGGUAAGUGGAAUUCCUAGUGUAGCGGUGAAAUGCGUAGAUAUUAGGAGGAACACCAGUGGCGAAGGCGGCUUACUGGACGGUAACUGACGUUGAGGCUCGAAAGCGUGGGGAGCAAACAGGAUUAGAUACCCUGGUA
rnacentral:rRNA from 1 species